UGUUUGUUUAUGGCUUUGCAAUGUGGUGCAAUCUUCAAGUCGUCACCAUGCGGAAAUUGAUAAAUAUAUCAGGUACUAUGUCACCAUGAUGUGAUAUACACGCCUAAAAAAGCCUUCUAAGCGAGUUUAGAGCUCUGUACUGUGGUAAAACCAUGGACAUACACUUGUACGCUUACAGCUAGGCUUCCAUCUUUCAGGCAUACAGGUGUUGUUGUUAAAAGGAGGGACCGAUCGCUGUGACAGAAAUCAUGGAGAACUGUUUGAAGCAUGGAAGUCGCUUUAGAUGUCGACUUGAGUUUGUCCUCAAUCAGCUGAGGAGAGCCGGGAAAUUGACACACUCUCAGUCAGCCAGGAUCGGCGGGAUUCUGUGUACCUGUCAAAACAAAGACCAGUCAGCGCAAGAUUGUGACUUCAUUGACCAUGAAUUCUCCAAGUCAUACACUCAAGUCCAAAAAUUGUUGGAUCCUGGACAAGGCCGACUGGACAAAGAAAAUAUUUUUUCUAGUCAUUCUGCGAAAGUCUUACUGGAUAGUUUUAAGUCCCUUGAAAUUGUGAAUCAAGAUGGAUUGAAAAGACUGGUUGUCAUGCUGGCAAAGAUAGUCAACUCAGAGUUUGAUCAGACAUAUCCCACAUGUCGUACAAAUUCGAAAAAUGACAAGCUGACAACUGUCCUGGCGCUAAACCUUCCAUGGGACUACAUUGGUUUUUUAAUUGGAAAAUGUGGACAGGGUUUUCAGGAAAUCAGGAAGAAAACAGAGUGUAGCAUAAAGCUACAGGGUCGUGAAAUGAUUUCUGAUGCUCAGCACAUAAUGAUUCGAAUUGAAAGUGGUUCUGUGGCAAAUUUAGAUAUGGCCAGAACCUUACUGAGGGAAAGAGCAAGGAAAGUCACAGAAAAACGAAAAAUACAUGAGCAACGAGUGAGAGACUACGAUGAUUUAAGGAAUAAAAAGCGCUUGUCCUCUUUACUGGCUCGUGAAAAAAGGAAGAACCAUGAGCAGUCUCAGGCGAAGGGAGGUAAUUCAUGGCUGACCAAAAUAUUUAUCAUCCCUAAGGUGGAAAUACAGAAAAUGAACAUAUUUGCAACUAUGAAAAUGUACUAGUAUGUUUCCAGGAUAUCAAGAAUCUGAACAAGGCUGAAUAUCAUAGGAAAAGAACUCAGCAGCAUAAAAUGCACAACUCGGGGACAAAGAUAAAAGGACAUCGAGCGUUGGCUGAAGGUAGCAGGUGCCUUAACUGCCUGGGGACAUUUGCUGCCACAGAGAUGAAGGAAGGAGCCUGCAAGUUUCAUCCUGGCUUUAUUGUUGAUGAAGAGUGGAGUUGUUGUGGGAAGAGCUCUACUGACCACCAUCCAUCCCAUAAUGAUCACAAGAUGACUGGAUGUUCCAAUUCAGUCCAUAACUAUCGGCCCACACAAAAACGUCACGGCAAGAGUAGCCUGAACUCGCCGAAGGAGUCGAAAUCGUCUCUUCUACAGGAUGCUACGGAACUUCUGCAAGACUUCAAACUCUAAGGAUGUAAGAUGUGAAAACAAUACAUGAUAAGUGCUGAUUUUUAAAGAGCGCGCUCAGAUGUGCAGGGCCAUCGCAGAGCUCGGAUCUCCUGCCAGCCUGCUCGUGCUGGCUUGCGUUUUAGUGCUUAUAUCUGUUGUAUGUUUGUAUCAAAACUGUGUUUAUGAUGUCCCACCCUGCCAUAAUACAGGGUAUGUGGGUAGAUCAGUAGCUUGUAUGUAUGGUAUGAGAGGCUCCUAGGUCCAGCUCAUGCAUGCCGGCUUUCUGUCCGGCCAUACAUGGGAAGGUUUGCGAGCUACUUGCAGAUGGUCGUGUGUUCCUCCGGGCUCUGCUCGGUUUCCACCCACUUUAAUGCUGGCCACCGUCGUAUAAGUGAAAUAUUCUUGAGUAUGGCGUAAAACACCAAUCAAAUAAAUAAAUAGAUAAAUAAAAUGAAUGUAUGGCUUGGGCAAAACUACGAUCCAGGACACGAGUGCUGCAGAAAGUUGAGCGGAAAGGAUUGGCUAGGUCUAACCUAGUUUAUUAGCCCAAACAGACGUGCCACAAGAAGGUUAUGUAUGUUGAGAUCAUCAGUAGGUUAAUCUAUUUAUUAAAUUUUAGUACUCAUUGAUAUGAACAACAACAUCACCCCCAGCAACGCCAUAUGUCUUCCGAGUGUAUAGACUGUAAAGGGAUGUGGAAAAGUUGUUCUCGAGGUUGGCGUAGCCUACUUCUGCCGUCGAUGAGACUUUUGUAGCGCAUGUGUCAGUAUAUAGAGAGCUGUAGCCCCUGUAUAUUAUCUGUUUUAUACCACACUCAUUGGUGUCCAUGUCAUGACGCCAUAUCGCGAGCAUAGGGUCACAUUUUGGUAUAUAUCCGGGGCUGUUUGUACUGUUACUGGCGGUUGUGACCUUUCUGUAACCCGCCCACACUAUAGUAUUAUUAAUAUAAAGCUCAACGUAUCACGAACACAUUGAUUUUCCUUUGUAUUUAUGUAGGAAAUUUGUCAAUUUCA